CUUUUAGAUAUAAUAAUUAAAGGUCGUGCCUGCUCACUGAUUAAUAGAUUUAAGGGCCGCAGUAAUUUGACUGUGCAAAGGUAGCAUAAUCAAUAGUUUUUUAAUUGGAAACUGGGAUGAAUGGUUUGACGAAAAAUUAACUGUCUCUUAAUAAUAUUUAGAAUUUAACUUUUAAGUUAAAAGGCUUAAAAUUUUUCUUUAGGACGAGAAGACCCUAUAGAGCUUGAUAUUUUUUAUAUAAUUUUGUUUUUACUUUUAUUUUUAUAUUAAAAAAAUAUUUUGUUGGGGUGAUAUAAAGGAUAUUUAAACUCUUUAUUAUUUAUUCAUUGAUUAAUGUUUUUUUGAUCUAAAAUUUUUGAUUAUAAGAUUAAGUUACCUUAGGGAUAACAGCGUAAUUAUUUUUGAGAGUUCAUAUUGACAAAGUAGUUUGCGACCUCGAUGUUGGAUUAAGAUUAAUAUUUGGUGUAGAGGCUAAAAAAUUAGGUCUGUUCGACCUUUAAAUUCUU
rnacentral:rRNA from 1 species